UCAAUGUUGGGCCGUGGGUAAUUAUUAUUCAACACAUGAUGAGAAACGGUGAAUUUCGUUUUGAAGACCGCGUGAAUAGUCAUAUCAAAUACUUUGAUGUGUAGAAGCUGCCCCGCCAAGAACUCAAAAAAAAUUAGGACAAGUUCCUCGACCUCACGUGAUUUCGAAUUUAUCAAUAGUAUCAGAUAGAAAAACAAGUGGAUGGUGCAGUUAUUCAAUAACAUUGUGAAAUGCUUCUCGCUACAAAAUCAUUCAAUCAUUCUCUGGAAACACGAGAAAAGGCCAUUUGUAGAUCGACUAGCGACGAAUUUGUUCCAAACACAAGCCUAGCACUGGAAUCGAUUUGCAGUAGUUUGUUUUUCAUCACUGGUUGUAGGUGGCUAUGUGACUGAUUUGCUAUCAUUCUGGCUAGAUUUAUAAAUAUUUCCGAAAACCAAUCGGAGCUUGAGUGAAUAAAAAACUGGAUAAAACUGGCAAAUAUCUGAAAAAAACUGGAAGAUUUUGGGAAGAAAAUGUUUGAGUGAAUCACUUGAAAAAAAACUGUAGGAAUCCAGUUCAAACUGGAACAUUGGUAACCCUGGAACUAACUACUCAAAAAAUGGCCCAAUGAAUCGCAUGAUGCGUCACUAUAAUCAGCACUGCGAAAAUAUCGAAUAUCACUAUGGGCAGAAAUCAAAUCAAAAAACGAGUAACUACUGGAAAUAAUGUAUAUAAUAUAAGAAAACAUUGUAUUAUUAUAACUGUAGUCUACAUUUGAUUGACGAAAUAAAU